rnacentral:rRNA from 1 species
ACGCUCGACACCUACGGGAUGCAGCAGUGGGGAAUAUUGCACAAUGGGGGAAACCCUGAUGCAGCGACGCCGCGUGAGCGAAGAAGUAUUUCGGUAUGUAAAGCUCUAUCAGCAGGGAAGAAACUGACGGUACCUGACUAAGAAGCACCGGCUAAAUACGUGCNNNCGCGUAGUAUNGNGGCGNGNGAGAG